AGCUUUGUGCAGUGGCAGUAUCGUGCCCAAUGAGGUUUAUCUGAGGCAUGAUUAUUGCUAAUUGAAAACUUUUCCCACUUAAA
rnacentral:snRNA from 1 species